rnacentral:antisense_RNA from 1 species
UUGAGGGUAUACUGCCAGGUGUCGUCGGACUGCACCACAGUUUCAUCGCCGAAAUGGUCGCCGUCGGCGAGCACAUCGAACACGAUCUGCUCGCCAUACUUGCCAACACCAAUUUUGUUUACCUUGCCACGAGCAAUCAGAAUGACGCGAUCGGCAGGCUGGCCAAGUUCGACGAUUACAUCAUCUGGAGCGUACUCCUGCUGAACAAACUGGUUUGCUAACCCGGUCAAUACGUCAAGGUUGUUAAACCCUCGCAGCAAGGGCAACUCAGUAAGUUCCAGGGGAAUCACCUGCACCGCAGCUCCAGUGUUGGUGAAAGUCACCCGUCCAUCACCCACGGAAUAACUCAACCGACGGUUGACCCGAUAAGCGCCACCUUUUGUUUGCACCCACGGCAAUAACUUCAAUAACCAGCGCGAUGUAAUUUCCUGGGUUUGCGGUGCAGAUUUGGCCGUUGUCGCCAAAUUACGCGCCGCUGCUGUACUCAAGGUUAAAUGGGGCUGCUG